GAUGAACGCUGGCGGCGUGCCUAGUACAUGCAAGUCGAGCGAACGGACGAGAAGCUUGCUUUUCUGAUGUUAGCGGCGGACGGGUGAGUAACACGUGGAUAACCUACCUAUAAGACUAGGAUAACUUCGGGAAACCGGAGCUAAUACCGGAUAAUAUUUUGAACCGCAUGGUUCAAAAGUGAAAGACGGUCUUGCUGUCACUUAUAGAUGGAUCCGCGCUGCAUUAGCUAGUUGGUAAGGUAACGGCUUACCAAGGCAACGAUGCAUAGCCGACCUGAGAGGGUGAUCGGCCACACUGGAACUGAGACACGGUCCAGACUCCUACGGGAGGCAGCAGUAGGGAAUCUUCCGCAAUGGGCGAAAGCCUGACGGAGCAACGCCGCGUGAGUGAUGAAGGUCUUCGGAUCGUAAAACUCUGUUAUUAGGGAAGAACAUAUGUGUAAGUAACUGUGCACAUCUUGACGGUACCUAAUCAGAAAGCCACGGCUAACUACGUG
rnacentral:rRNA from 1 species